UCUAGGAAUCACAUUUCAACAAGAGAUUUGGAAGGGACAAACAUCCAAACUAUAUCAGCCUGGAAGAGGACUGUCAUUACACAUGAGGGAUUCAGGUGGCCAUUGAGAAUAUGAACGUGAGAGCUGGGUUCUUGGGUCUUGCUCUAUUCAGGCUGGAGCAGAGUGGCACCAUCACAGCUAACUGCAGCCUCGACCUCCUGGGUUCAAUAAUCCUCCCACCUCAGCCUCCUGAGUGGCAUCUUUUUAUUUUUGUUUUUUUUACAUAGAGAUGAGGUCUCGCUAUGUUGCCCAGGCUGGUCUUGAACUCCUGGGCCCAAGCGAUCCUCUUGCCUUGGCCUCCCAAAGUUCUGGGACUGCAGGCGUGAAUUACAAUGCCUGGCCUUAUUUCUCAUUUAUCUGAAAUAAAUUAUAAGUAUCUAAAUUACAUACUUCUUCCUUUAAUUAUGUUUCCCUUGGCUCUCCUUAAUAAUUCUUUCCUAUGCAUAAUUUGUUUAUAAAAUUUCUUGCAGUUACAGCUUAUGUUCCACUUACAUAACAGAACUUCUACCAAUUUAGUAGUCACAUCGAUUUAUUUCAUUUAUUUGUCCAUUGAACUUUCUUUUUUU
rnacentral:lncRNA from 1 species